rnacentral:tRNA from 1 species
GAGGGUAUAGCUCAGUGGUACAGUGCACGCCUAACAUGCAUAAGGUCCUGGGUUCAAUCCUCAGUACCCCCA